rnacentral:RNase_P_RNA from 1 species
CAGCCCCGGCUGGCGGCUACGGCCCCUCCCAAGAGAGGGGCUGAGGAAACUCCACCCUCCCCGAGGCAUCCGGGCCCCGCAAGGGGCACGGGUGAAACCCGUGGCAACGGCACAGAAACGACACGGCCCCCGGGCAAUGGCGAGGACCCCGCGAGGCCUCCCAGGCAACUGGGGGGCAGUAACCGGGCGAGGACCCCGGGGGAUGCGGUGAAACGGCCGUCCCCGGAGGAGCAAGGGCCGCGGGAGAUGAGGCGCCUCGCGACUCCCGCGGCGCGGGCCGCUGAGUCGAAUGCCGCCGUAGUACAGAAGGUGGGUUAUAGCCGGGGCUG